UUUUAAAAAUAUUGAAUAUGUCAUAUAAAGAUAUAACUGCCGUAAGAGUGAGUAGAUCAUCCGAUGUAACUUAUAACCAGGUUGUACUGUA